GUACUGUCACAUUUCAUAUGAAACUUAAGGCCAAGUUUUGGUAGUAAGGAAUGGGGAGUAAUAACGUAUGAAGUGUUGACUGUUGCAGAGGCUAUACCAUUUUUCCAACACCGAAUACAGACAUGAUGCUAAGGCCUAUUUGCUAAACCUAUAAUUCCUAUGAUAAUUCUGUGGAUCUAAGCACUGUAGACAUACAGAUGAUGUACAUUUAUAACUGCUUCACCUCAUGGGAGAAAACUUCUUAUCGUGGUCUGUGGCUGAAUAUUUAACAAUUGGCAUGAGUUUUACUAAUUGCUUAUCCAGCUCUGAUAGCAAUCUGCUCUUUGUUACCUUUCAGCUUAAUAAGAUCGCAGAAUGCUUUUUCUGAGGUGAUUCUCCUUCUGUUUCCUUGCGAAUGUUCAUCGAAACCAAGUUUUGUAUUGAGUAGUUAAGUAACGGAACCAUGUUAGCAUCUGAGCCGUAUUAGUUUGAAGCCUUUAUUGGACUCCAUGCAACCUAUAACGAAGUCUUCUUUUGUGCUUUGGUUGGCUCUGCUUUCCAGCUGGGGAUCCUUUCCCAUUCCACGGGCAGGCGCAUUUAUCAUCAACCGUAAGGUUCUCUCUCUGAUGCUCCUGAUUUAAGUUAUAUUUUGCUACCAGCUUGCAGCUAGCAAUUGCUUUGCAGAUUACCUUCCUCACUAAAUAUCAUUAGGUCAUCUCGAUUACGUUCAUUUUCGCAACUUGUUGAGCUGCUUCCUUCAGGCACUGUUGGAUAGAUUUGCCCUUUCUACUGACUCAAAUCUAUUUUUUAUAUUAUGUCGGCACCAUUACUCUCUGAAACUGAAUGAUAUUUGAUACAUCUGACGGUUUCUUCCUCAUUUAUAAGAGUUUUAUUCCUCCAAAUGCAUCGUUCGGAUUGGAAACUGUUUUUACUUGAAUCAAAGAUGAAAGGCCUCUCUCAUGCAUCAUAUAAAAGGAAUUCCUGAUCCAAAUGGAGGGAUCUGGAUGAGUAAAAUAUUGCCCCUCGAAGCUAUUCCCUCCAGAUCCCUCAAUCCAAAUAAGUCAUAAAGAGUACCCCCCCCCCGGCAGAAAUUUCUACCCUGCACGUGGCACGCAUAAUCGCUCAGGUUGCAAGUGGACGCCAGCCGCAUGCCCGUGCCUAUCCGAGAACAAAAGCGGGCCUCCGCACAGCACAAGAACCUUUGGGGUACAGCGACCCGACGCACCUCGGUUUCUAACCAUUUGGCAUGAAAGAUGAGACAAAAGAUGCAGACAAAACACGAUGGUCUUAAUGUAGAAGUUUAUCAUGGGAGAAAUAUAAUAUUGUCAUGCAAAUAUGGCAUGUGCGAGAAUUGAAAGACAAGCGGAACAAGCUACCUAGCGCAUGGCGAAACGGGACAUGGUCGAAGCCGUAAAUCGGAAAACAUUAAAGUAACAAGCCGGGGAAAGUCAUAGGUAUGUUGGUUUGCAUCACACGUGACAUAAUCUCCUGGUCUUUAAUUAUUAUAUAUCUUUUGCGCCCUCUUACUCCAUUGCAUUCGUUCGUUCAUUCAUGCAUUUCCAUUCAUUUUAAAGUGAAGAUAACGUAAAGGCCUUCAAGACCAAACAAAAGCAUCUCUUCAGGGAAUAAGGGAUAAUAAUAAUCACACAAGUCCAAGGCCUUGUGGAUAAUCAUAACUUUUGAAGUAGUUUUCAGCUCUUUAGCCGUAGAUGCUUCAGUACCCAUCUUUCUACAAUGGUCAUUUGUCUUCUUUCUUUCUCCAUAUAUGCUUUCUGUCCGAGUGAAUUGCCGGGACUGCCCCGCGAUUCUUCGAUAAUUGCAGACGCGGGUCGAGUCGAGUCGAGUCGAGUCCAGGAUAUGUUAGGACUCAUGCAGAUAAUUAAUAUAUUGAUCUUUUCAAGGUGAUCAAUAGUACUGAUCAAGCAACCGUUGCUCGUGAAGUGUAUAUAUUUCCUAAGUCCUGUUGUGAUUGUCAAGCAGUUGGGAGCUGUCCCUUUUUGCAUUCAAAGCCUGUGACUUCACCUCUUCUCCAAGCACUACUAGACAUCCCUCAUUUGGCUUAUUAGACGAACUUCAUUAAUUUCGUCAAAUCAUGAUAUUAAAAUCUUGCGAGCAUGCCGUGCGUGUUCUGUCAGCUGAGAGAGAAAGAAGUAUAUACUAAUUCUAUAUGCCCCAUAAUAGGAUUGUUAGACUGUAAGGCUAAUAGAAAGAUA